AUGCAUGGAAGAAGAGUAUAAAUACCAUUGAAUCAUAAGAUUUAUUAGCGAUUUAGACAAAUUUUGUACUAUAAUUAAUGCUUCAAAACUUAUUGUUGAGCACAGGGAGUCGGCAUGCAUAGCAUUUUUUAAGUCUGCUCUCAAUUUCAUUUUGCAAAAGUAAUAUAAUUAAUGAAGCUAAAAAUUACAACCUUCCUGAUAAUGAUUAAGUAUCCAUUCAUCAAUCUAUAACUCUUCGUAAGCAAAAGCGUAAUUACAUGUACAUUUGGGUCAUGACCCAAAUGAAAAAACCUCACAUGAGAGGACUCAAAAUGGGAAAAAAAAAAAAAGAUAAUAUAUAUCCUCUUCAAACGACUCGUCUCUCGUUCUCAAGCCCUUCAGGACUUUCCAUGAUACUCUCCAGAGAGGGUUUCCAUGUCUUAACUUUCAUUGAUCUCCCUCUCUCUAUCUCUCCCAAGACAUCUUCUAGCUUCUUUCCUCCAUUGACCUUUAGCUGAAACAGUAACCACUCUAGCUCCUCCUUUGUAAGCACGAUCUUAACCUUAAGACUUGAACCUUUCUCAAAGUUACCACUUUCCUUCACGAACUCUAGUUCUUUCUUUUCCUGGUGAAGCUCCUUCAUGUUAUCAUCCUCUUCAUGCUGCCUUCUUGUGCUAGGCUUUAUGCAAUUUCCCAUAUUUUGAAGUGAAAAAAGAAGAAGAAGAAGCUCUCGACGUAUAAUUAACAGUACCCAAAAUGGUUUUGGGAGCUCAAAAAAUGAAGAAUAAAAGGGAAAGGUACAACAAUGGAAAAGUCGGUGCCGAACGCUUCAACUUGUGAAUAUGAGGUUGGAGGGAGUCAUGGUAUUUAUAGGGGUUAGGUGCCCAUAAUUUACGUAGAAUUUCUUAAACAUGAAUAUAUAAUAAUGAUUUUUCUAUAUGCUAAGAGACAAACUAAAUUUCAAGGAAUAAGACACAACUACUUGUGUGCCAUUUUAUUAAAUUAGUUACGUACGUACAUUUAUUUAUUUCUCUUUAUAAGUAGUUGGGUGCUAGCCAAAGAGAGAACUGCCUGCUCUCUUAAGUCUUAUCAGCUUCUAUAUUUAUUCAUUGUAAUUACUUUCCGCUAUUUUUAAAGAAUCC
rnacentral:lncRNA from 1 species